UUUAUUUGUAUUUUGCGACUAUAGUAAUUUGUUUAAUGUUCGGAAAUGCCGGUUUUUGAUCGCGUUUGUUAUGUAUAUUACAAGUCACGUGAUAGUGGAAUUGAUAACAUACUUCACUCGACGUUGUGUUUGGUGUCGGUUACUAAAUUAUAUAUCGACGCCCAUGUUGAUUCUCAUUAUUAAGAAAGAUCCAUCAGGCUCGUUUACAGCACUCGUUGUGCCUGGCAGUCCGAUAAGCUAUACACUGCAUUCCUUGUGCCUGGCAAUCCGAUAGGCUGUACACUGUAUUCGCCGUACCAUGGAGUCCGAUGAAUUCUUCAUUAACGUAAACGAUAACGCUACCCUUCUACGGUGCCCUAAAUGGGUGUAACUUCUACCGCUACCUUCGUACGGUGCCUUGAAUGGGAGUCACUUCUACCGCUAUCUUCGUACGUUGCCUUGAAUGGGAGUCUUUAUGGAUCCUUUGUUGAAUGAAGCAUUGGCUAAUCCUGAGAUGGACGAUGAAUUUUAUCAAUAAGGACCAACUGGAGAGGUUCCGUGGUACUGGUGGAGUGCGUAUUGAGGAUGAUGUUUUGUUUACUGAAGAUGGAUGUGUCAACUGGACUAAAAUACCCAGAACUGUCCAAGAAAUAGAAGAUUGGAUUGCCGGUGUUGAUGAUGAUUCCAAAUACGAUGGAAUGAAUUUACAACAUUUUGAAGCAAUUAUUGAUAUAAUUUUUAUGUAUUUUGUUAAAAGAUAUAAAAAGAGCAUUUUAUAAUUGUAUCAUAUUACCCUGUUUAUAUGUUUGUAUUCUUAAAAAUGCUGUAUAUAUUGAAAAAUUGAGUUUGUGAUGUAUAUAUAUUCUACAUGUUCAAAUAAAAUUGUAGUUUUAUAUUUUUAACUAUAAA